GACGAACGCUGGCGGCGUGCUUAACACAUGCAAGUCGAACGGAAAGGCCCUGCUUUUGUGGGGUGCUCGAGUGGCGAACGGGUGAGUAACACGUGAGUAACCUGCCCUUGACUUUGGGAUAACUUCAGGAAACUGGGGCUAAUACCGGAUAGGAGCUCCUGCUGCAUGGUGGGGGUUGGAAAGUUUCGGCGGUUGGGGAUGGACUCGCGGCUUAUCAGCUUGUUGGUGGGGUAGUGGCUUACCAAGGCUUUGACGGGUAGCCGGCCUGAGAGGGUGACCGGCCACAUUGGGACUGAGAUACGGCCCAGACUCCUACGAGAGGCAGCAGUGGGGAAUAUUGCACAAUGGGCGGAGGCCUGAUGCAGCAACGCCGCGUGCGGGAUGACGGCCUUCGGGUUGUAAACCGCUUUCGCCUGUGACGAAGCGUGAGUGACGGUAAUGGGUAAAGAAGCACCGGCUAACUACGUGCCAGCAGCCGCGGUGAUACGUAGGGUGCGAGCGUUGUCCGGAUUUAUUGGGCGUAAAGGGCUCGUAGGUGGUUGAUCGCGUCGGAAGUGUAAUCUUGGGGCUUAACCCUGAGCGUGCUUUCGAUACGGGUUGACUUGAGGAAGGUAGGGGAGAAUGGAAUUCCUGGUGGAGCGGUGGAAUGCGCAGAUAUCAGGAGGAACACCAGUGGCGAAGGCGGUUCUCUGGGCCUUUCCUGACGCUGAGGAGCGAAAGCGUGGGGAGCGAACAGGCUUAGAUACCCUGGUAGUCCACGCUGUAAACGGUGGGUACUAGGUGUGGGGUCCAUUCCACGGGUUCCGUGCCGUAGCUAACGCUUUAAGUACCCCGCCUGGGGAGUACGGCCGCAAGGCUAAAACUCAAAGGAAUUGACGGGGCCCCGCACAAGCGGCGGAGCAUGCGGAUUAAUUCGAUGCAACGCGUAGAACCUUACCUGGGUUUGACAUGGAUCGGGAGUGCUCAGAGAUGGGUGUGCCUCUUUUGGGGUCGGUUCACAGGUGGUGCAUGGCUGUCGUCAGCUCGUGUCGUGAGAUGUUGGGUUAAGUCCCGCAACGAGCGCAACCCUUGUUCACUGUUGCCAGCACGUUAUGGUGGGGACUCAGUGGAGACCGCCGGGGUCAACUCGGAGGAAGGUGGGGAUGACGUCAAGUCAUCAUGCCCCUUAUGUCCAGGGCUUCACGCAUGCUACAAUGGCUGGUACAGAGAGUGGCGAGCCUGUGAGGGUGAGCGAAUCUCGGAAAGCCGGUCUCAGUUCGGAUUGGGGUCUGCAACUCGACCUCAUGAAGUCGGAGUCGCUAGUAAUCGCAGAUCAGCAACGCUGCGGUGAAUACGUUCCCGGGGCU
rnacentral:rRNA from 1 species